GGCGACAUCUUGUGGUUAAAUUCUGCAUUACACCUGUAAUUUGAAUUUAGCCUUGAAAUGAUCAACUUAUUUAAAGGACCACUCCACACUUACAACCCCCCCAGUUUAGUAGUUACACCCCCAACAAAUACAUGCAUGUAUAUUUUUAUGUAUGUAAUCAUUGGGAGUACAGUCUAAAACAGCUUACAAAAGCAGAAGUUCUUAUGACUGCAGUCUUUGUAAGCCCUCCCCUUUUUCAC